rnacentral:tRNA from 1 species
UCCCAAAUAGUCUAGGCGGUUAGGAAAAGUGGCUUUCACCCACGCGACCCGGGUUCGAGUCCCGGUUUGGGAA